rnacentral:rRNA from 1 species
GAUGAACGCUGGCGGCGUGCCUAAUACAUGCAAGUCGAGCGAACAGACGAGGAGCUUGCUCCUCUGACGUUAGCGGCGGACGGGUGAGUAACACGUGGAUAACCUACCUAUAAGACUGGGAUAACUUCGGGAAACCGGAGCUAAUACCGGAUAACAUGUUGAACCGCAUGGUUCAACAGUGAAAGACGGUCUUGCUGUCACUUAUAGAUGGAUCCGCGCCGCAUUAGCUAGUUGGUAAGGUAACGGCUUACCAAGGCAACGAUGCGUAGCCGACCUGAGAGGGUGAUCGGCCACACUGGAACUGCGACACGGUCCAGACUCCUACGGGAGGCAGCAGUAGGGAAUCUUCCGCAAUGGGCGAAAGCCUGACGGAGCAACGCCGCGUGAGUGAAGAAGGUCUUCGGAUCGUAAAACUCUGUUAUGAGGAAAGAACAAAUGUGUAAGUAACUAUGCACGUCUUAACGGUACCUAAUCAGAAAGCCACGGCUAACUACGUG